rnacentral:rRNA from 1 species
UACGGGGGGGGUAAGCGUUGUUCGGAAUUACUGGGCGUAAAGCGUGCGCAGGCGGUUCUCCAAGUCCGUUGUGAAAGCCCCGGGCUCAACCUGGGAAUGGCAGUGGAAACUAGGGGACUGGAAUCUGGCAGAGGGGGGUGGAAUGCCGCGUGUAGCAGUGAAAUGCGUAGAGAUGCGGCGGAACACCGAUGGCGAAGGCGGCCCCCUGGGCUGAGAUUGACGCUCAGGCACGAAAGCGUGGGGAGCAAACAGG